CUUAGUACUUUUACUAUCAUGAAUGUAAAUGAAACUGAUGUUUUGAUUAGAUCUAGACCUCCACCCUUUGAAGCAUACAAGAUAAACAAAAGUCCUUAAUCUCAAGGCAUAAAAAAGAACUUAAUGUGGACUUAACCCAUCCAUGACAAUCAUUUGAUAAUGAGAAGUUAGAGUAACUUGGGGCGCAAGUAAUCAGCUUAAAUACACUCAUUCUACAUCUGCCAUAUAGAGAUGGCAGUGGUACGCCUCAGCGCUUAGUUUUGAUUGUGAGCCUCACGGCCUACAC
rnacentral:lncRNA from 1 species